UACCCCCUUUUCCCUUUGCCAUUUGAACUUAUGUCUUUAUUGGUCAUUCAAGUAGAGCAAAGGAAGUAUCUUUUAACAAUUCAAGCAAACUGAGUGCUUGUUUGUAGUCUAUCAGAGGAAACAAAA